ensembl:lncRNA
UGCAAUCAAGCAUUCUCAGGAGGAGUGUUGAAUUGGCACCUUGCACAGCUGCCUGGAGGAAACUCUUAAAUCUCUUCUGCUUCUUCUGAUGUGGUGCAGCUCUUGCAUCCCUGUCCCCCUGUCUAGAACUCAGACUUAGAUAAGAGCAUCUCAGGAGAAGCAUGUAUUUGCAGGAAAAGCUUGUUACUGAGUUAUGGGACUCAGCUGGGAAAGGACCUCAGGAAGCCCCAGCCCAACCUCCUGCUCAAAAUGGGAUCAGCUGUGAGCUGAGGGUUUGGUCCACUUUCCUCAAGCAGAGCAGCAAUUUGCCUUCCUCAUCAAAAGCUACGGGAGGUGAGCAGGAGAAGAGCAGCCCAGCUGGAGGACAGCCUGGAGAUGCAGAGCACCACCCCAGAGCAUCAGCAGCCUGCUGAUUGCUCCUAAUGAGAGAGUGAAAAGCAAGGUGAGAUUCACAAAGCCCUUCGGAGUGCAGGAGGCAUCAGAAAAGUCAUUCAUCUUGCAUUUCCCUCUGCUUCCCUCUGACACGUGAUGAGGUCUAUCUCACCAGUAUGCGCACACAUGGAGCCAGCACAGGAGGCUGAUGCCUGACCGACUCACUCCUGUGAUGGAAAUGUGUUUGCUGGGCUGUGGCAAGGGAUGGAGGCAAUGUCCAUUCCACUUUCUGCAUCAGGAGGAACGGCCUCGUCCAGCAACUCUUCUGAGCUCUCUUGAAAAUACUGAGUGCCUGAUGAGUGUUGCUGUUGGACAAUGGGUUCCUGCUUUUCAGGAGGCUGAAGGUUACGUAUGCAAGUUGAAUCUGGGAACUGGGAAUUGGUCCUACAAGGCAGAAUGUUCAGUGAAACUGAUGAAGACAUGGAGAUUCAGCUUUGAGAAAUAAGAAGGUUACACCAUCUUAAUUUUCUCCAAGGGCUCUAUAACCUCAAAUUGAAGUGUGGCUUUAUUAGCAAAGGUCACAGAAGAGGAAAAAAAACCUAGGAGAGAAAAGGGUUUGCAAUUAGGAGCAAGUAACUGGAAUAAUUCUUCAAUUUCCAUGGAUGAUGAAAUGAAUCUGUCCUGGCAGAGCUAGCGUGAAGAGAGGAUGGGUUGUUGUAUGAGUUUGUGAAAUGUUUCUAUUAUCCACAAGGAGAGAGAAAGCUAUUUGUGUAGCAGCAUGCAAGGCAGUGCUUCCAUGCUUGAUCUGUCCUCUAAAAGUGGUUGGGUAUGGCUGUGUUGAGAUCCAGGUGGGGUAUUCGCAUCAGGUUUAGACCUCACUGAUGUUAAUAAAUAAGCUCAGAACUGCUCAAAGCUACAAAUAUUCUACAGCUGAGGGUCUUGCAGUAAUUUAAGGUGGAGUGAAAAUGUAUGGAAACCUUUUGUAAAAC